UCUUAUGUACAUACCUAUAACGUUAAUGCACACCGGAUCCCAACAAAACUCUGCAGUUAAGCACGCUUGGGCUAGACUAAUAUUAGGAUGGGUGACCUCCUAGGAAGUCCUAGUGUUUUACAUGCC
rnacentral:rRNA from 1 species